rnacentral:piRNA from 1 species
UGAAAUGGAAACAUGUUUGGA